rnacentral:lncRNA from 1 species
AGCCGACGCAGGCAGCCGCCGGGUGAAGUACGCAGGUACCGCAGGUACCCGGCGCCCGCCCGAUUUCAGGGCAAGUUACUGUUUUCAGAAUCCAAGGGGAAUCUAACACCUAAACAAUGCCAAGAGAAAAGGAAGGAAAACGAAAAACUAAAGGAGCACUCCUGCCCAUCAUUCCAACUCUUAAAAAGUUCCUGAAAACGUAUGAGAAGUAUUGUGCACAGACUCAGACGUCUGUGUGUCCAGCCAUCAAAAGGGACUUGAAAACCAGCAUCAAUAAUGAACAGAUUCUCAGGAAGUUUGUACUUGUAAGACCUGAUGACUCCCCGCCAGGCAUCCUACCAAUUUCCUUGGAACCUCUGCUCAUGACAGUUCAGGAUGAGUGUUUCACUCUGGGGAGAGAGAUCUGCAUUUGGGGCCUUCAACUGAGCAACCCAGAGAUGGCCAGACUCGCUUUGCUUUUGGAAUCAAAGGGGUGCACCACCUGCCCAUUUACCACCCUGGAACUCAUUGAUUGCAAGAUGGAUCUGUGGUCCCUGGGGAGACUUGGGAAGGCUCUUCAGUCCAGCAGUUUGCAAACUCUUGUUCUUGAUUACUGCAAAUUUGGAAAUGAAGAAAUUGAGAGGAUUUUCUCAGGCCUGGAGAACAACCAAAGGCUUCAAGUCCUCAGCUUACGUUACUGUGGUCUGGGGCCACAGAUUGGGCCAAGGCUGGGCUCUAUCAUAUGCCAGAGUGCCAUUUGUGAGCUGCACCUUGAUGGCAAUUACUUGCAGUGUUCUGGAGCUCUGGAUCUCCUCAGACCCGUAGCAGAGUAUGCAGAGAUGCAGGGGAAAGACCAGCCAGCCACUUGCUCACCAGACCCUAGGCAUCCCCCUCAGCUGCUCCAAGCUAAGCAGAGAGGAAGUUCAACUUUGAACCAGAUUACAAAGUCAUCUGGAGCUCUAACAGUGAAAACUACUUCAGGAAAGAAGAGAAAAAAAGGAAUCAAGAAAAAACUUAAAAAUUUGGAAGUUGGACCUUGGUUAGUGAAGUUGUAUUUGGCAGAUAAUGGCAUAGAUGGAAAAGGAAAAGAAGGAGAAAAUAACUUGCUGGAAUUCACUCAAAUUUUAACAUGCCUGAUCAAAUACUCUGCCCAUUUAAGGGAGAUUGACCUUGGAAACAAUGUCCUGGGAGAAAUGGCUGCUGCUGACAUUCUUGAAGCACUGAGAGCCAGAAAGACAGGUAAACUUCCAGUUUUAAAAGUUACAGUAACUCCCCAGAUCUCUUCAGAUACCUUCAUGUCUAUUUGGGAAAAUAGCAAGAAAUCAAGUACUACCCAUAAAAAGAGGAAAAAGGUAUGCUCUCAGAUAUCUGUGCUGGUAAGUAGAAGCCACCAGGGGGUGCUCUAUGGAGUCUGGGCACUCUGCUAGGAUAGAUGGUGCCCUGAGUAGCACAUUUUGCACUUGAUCAAAUCAGGAACAUUUGGGUUCUAGGUAACACUCCCCUAAAGCAUCAUUCCAUACUGAUGGAUGAUGACCAAGGGACGAGCGGUAACAGAAUAACAUAGUUCUCUCAAAGAAUAGCGCAAACUCUACCUCUUCUCUUCAAACCACAACAUACACACAAAAUCCUGGCUCCAAUUAGCCUAUUUGUGGAUCUAAAACAAUGAAUUUACCUAAGCUCUUUAUGAAGCUGUUCUACAUCUUAAGGGGUAAUGAUUUACAUGUGCUUACUCUCUAUGUAGUUGAACUUCCUUUUUCAUUUUUUUUCUAUUUAUUAUCUCUUGUUCAUUUUUUCACAGGCUAGAAACUGAAUAUGGAUGCCAUAUAGCCAUAUGGAUUUUAUCUAUUUCCAUGACCUACCACACAUGCCUGGAAAGAUAUUGUUUGUUCUAUAAUAAUAUUUUUCACUAUAACCAAGCCCCUUUCAAGUUGUAAGAUUUGAUAAGACUCCUUAAUGAAAGUUCAAAGUAGUGUUAGUCCUACCAUGCUUGUCAUUUUCUAAAAUGUUGACUUUAUAAAUAAGCCUUGGUAAAAAUAAGUGGGAUUCUUCUCUGAAGCUUGUUCUCUUGUGCGUGUGAAAUUUAUAGUUUGAAGGAAGUCAUGAUCUUUAAGAAAGAAAGACUUGUCUUUCAUAAAUAUAUCUAUGGUUGGGAAAAAUAGGGAUUUUUGGGGGAAAUAACCACUUUCUAAAAGGCAACAACCCUAACAAUGGGGAUCUUCCCCAAAUGAGGAAAAUUCUGAUCACUCUACCCUCCAUACUCUGUAAGAUUUCAAUAGCUCCAAAGGAAAUGGAAGCAGUAUCCUGAUCAAUGCAUAGAUGAUAAAUUGAAUUAGGUAAAUUGUAUACAGUACAGGGAUAAAAAGCAUGGGCUAGGCAAUUAGAUGAACCAGAAUUCUCUGUGGAAUCCUGCUGCUUUCCGGGUGACCU